rnacentral:rRNA from 1 species
GUGUGAAAUCAUACCAACGUUAAUGCAAUGGAUCACAUCAGAACUCUGCAAUUAAACACACUUGGGCUAGAGUAGUACUGGGAUGGGUGACCUCCCAGGAAGUCCUAGUGUUGCAUCCU